rnacentral:rRNA from 1 species
AGUGAACGCUGGCGGUAGGCCUAACACAUGCAAGUCGAACGGUAGCACAGUAAGAGCUUGCUCUUACGGGUGGCGAGUGGCGGACGGGUGAGGAAUACAUCGGAAUCUACUUUUUCGUGGGGGAUAACGUAGGGAAACUUACGCUAAUACCGCAUACGACCUACGGGUGAAAGCAGGGGAUCUUCGGACCUUGCGCGAUUGAAUGAGCCGAUGUCGGAUUAGCUAGUUGGCGGGGUAAAGGCCCACCAAGGCGACGAUCCGUAGCUGGUCUGAGAGGAUGAUCAGCCACGCUGGAACUGAGACACGGUCCAGACUCCUACGGGAGGCAGCAGUGGGGAAUAUUGGACAAUGGGCGCAAGCCUGAUCCAGCCAUACCGCGUGGGUGAAGAAGGCCUUCGGGUUGUAAAGCCCUUUUGUUGGGAAAGAAAAGCAGCAGGUUAAUACCCCGCUGUUCUGACGGUACCCAAAGAAUAAGCACCGGCUAACUUCGUG